AGUUGUGGCUCAGUGGUAGAGUACUUGCCUAGCAUGUGUGAGGCCCUGGGUUUGAUUCUCAGCACUG
rnacentral:tRNA from 1 species